UACAGAGGGGGCGAGCGUUGUUCGGAAUCACUGGGCGUAAAGCGCACGUAGGCGGAUGUGUCAGUCAGGGGUGAAAUCCCGGAGCUCAACUUCGGAACUGCCUUUGAUACAGCACGUCUUGAGUCCGGAAGAGGUGGGUGGAAUUCCUAGUGUAGAGGUGAAAUUCGUAGAUAUUAGGAAGAACACCGGUGGCGAAGGCGGCCCACUGGUCCGGUACUGACGCUGAGGUGCGAAAGCGUGGGGAGCAAACAGG
rnacentral:rRNA from 1 species